rnacentral:rRNA from 1 species
UACGAAGGGUGCAAGCGUUACUCGGAAUUACUGGGCGUAAAGCGUGCGUAGGUGGUUUGUUAAGUCUGUUGUGAAAGCCCCGGGCUCAACCUGGGAAUGGCAAUGGAUACUGGCAGGCUAGAGUGCGGUAGAGGGUAGUGGAAUUCCGGGUGUAGUGGUGGAAUGCGUAGAGCUCCGGAGGAAAACCAGUGGCGAAGGCGGCCGCCUGGGCCUUUGCUGACGCUGAGCCGCGAAAGCGUGGGGAGCGAGCCGG